rnacentral:tRNA from 1 species
GCUGGAAUAGCACAGUUGGUAGUGCACUUCACUCGUAAUGAAGGGGUCGUGGGUUCGAGUCCCAUUUCCAGCU